AGAGUUUGAUCCUGGCUCAGGACGAACGCUGGCGGCGUGCCUAAAACAUGCAAGUCGAACGAGGCAGCAAUGCCUAGUGGCGAACGGCGGAGUAACACAUAAGCAACGUGCCCUGAAGACUGGGAUAGCCCGGGGAAACCCGGAGUAAUACCGGAUGUGGCCAUCCCGAGGAUCUCGGGAUGAUUAAAUGGUUUUUCGCUUCAGGAGCGGCUUAUGGCCUAUCAGCUAGUUGGCGAGGUAACGGCUCACCAAGGCUACGACGGGUAACGGGUCUGAGAGGAUGAUCCGUCCGAGUGGGACUGAGACACGGCCCACACACCUACGGGUGGCAGCAGUUGGGAAUCUUGCACAAUGGGGGAAACCCUGAUGCAGCGACGCCGCGUGGAGGAUGAAGGAUCUAGGUCUGUAAACUCCUUUUUCAGGGAAAGACUUAGGACGGUACCCUGAGAAUAAGCACCGGCUAACUACGUGCCAGCAGCCGCGGUAAGACGUAGGGUGCGAGCGUUGUCCGGAUUUACUGGGCGUAAAGAGCGCGUAGGGCGGUCUCGUAAGUGAGAAGCGAAAUCUCCAGAGCUCAACUCGGAAACUGCUUUUCAUACUGCGAGACUGGAGGGAUGCAGAGGUGAGUGGAAUUCCUGGUGUACCGGUGAAAUGGGUAGAUAUCAGGAGGAACACCCGUGGCGAAGGCGGCUCACUGGGCAUCACCUGACGCUGAGGCGCGAAAGUGUGGGUAGCAAACAGGAUUAGAUACCCUGGUAGUCCACACCCUAAACGAUGGAUACUAGGCGUGAGAGGUAUCG
rnacentral:rRNA from 1 species